rnacentral:rRNA from 1 species
UCAGGACGAACGCUGGCGGCGUGCUCAUACAUGCAAGUCGAACGAUAAGGCACCUUCGGGUGUACAUAAGUGGCGGACGGGUGAGUAAUAUGUAGAGAAUCUGCCCUAGAGAGCGGGACAACAGUUGGAAACGACUGCUAAUACCGCAUAUGAGCGUAGCUGAAAUGCUAUUCUUGAAAACUCCGGUGCUCUGGGAUGAGUCUGCAUCUGAUUAGCUAGUUGGGGGUGUAAUGGACCACCAAGGCGACGAUCAGUAGCUGGUUUGAGAGGAUGAUCAGCCACAAUGGGACUGAGACACGGCCCAUACUCCUACGGGAGGCAGCAGUAGGGAAUUUUGCGCAAUGGGGGAAACCCUGACGCCAGCAACGCCGCGUGACCGAUGAAGCCCUUCGGGGUGUAAAGGUCUGUCAGUGGGGACGAAUAUUGACGGUACCCACAGAGGAAGCAUCGGCUAACUCCGUGCCAGCCGCCGC